rnacentral:tRNA from 1 species
GGGUAUAGCUCCCUGAUAGAGCACAUGCCUAGCAUGCAUGAGGUCCUGGGUUUAAUCCCCGGUACUUCCA